GAUCGGCUAACUCCGUGCCAGCAGCCGCGGUAAUACGGAGGAUCCGAGCGUUAUCCGGAUUUAUUGGGUUUAAAGGGUGCGUAGGCGGCCUUUUAAGUCAGCGGUGAAAGUCUGUGGCUCAACCAUAGAAUUGCCGUUGAAACUGGGGGGCUUGAGUAUGUUUGAGGCAGGCGGAAUGCGUGGUGUAGCGGUGAAAUGCAUAGAUAUCACGCAGAACCCCGAUUGCGAAGGCAGCCUGCCAAGCCAUUACUGACGCUGAUGCACGAAAGCGUGGGGAUCAAACAGGAUUAGAUACCCUGGUAGUCCACGCAGUAAACGAUGAUCACUAGCUGUUUGCGAUACACUGUAAGCGGCACAGCGAAAGCGUUAAGUGAUCCACCUGGGGAGUACGCCGGCAACGGUGAAACUCAAAGGAAUUGACGGGGGCCCGCACAAGCGGAGGAACAUGUGGUUUAAUUCGAUGAUACGCGAGGAACCUUACCCGGGUUUGAACGCAUUCGGACCGAGGUGGAAACACCUUUUCUAGCAAUAGCCGUUUGCGAGGUGCUGCAUGGUUGUCGUCAGCUCGUGCCGUGAGGUGUCGGCUUAAGUGCCAUAACGAGCGCAACCCUUGCCACUAGUUACUAACAGGUGAUGCUGAGGACUCUGGUGGGACUGCCAGCGUAAGCUGCGAGGAAGGCGGGGAUGACGUCAAAUCAGCACGGCCCUUACAUCCGGGGCGACACACGUGUUACAAUGGCGUGGACAAAGGGAGGCCACCUGGCGACAGGGAGCGAAUCCCCAAACCACGUCUCAGUUCGGAUCGGAGUCUGCAACCCGACUCCGUGAAGCUGGAUUCGCUAGUAAUCGCGCAUCAGCCAUGGCGCGGUGAAUACGUUCCCGGGCCUUGUACAC
rnacentral:rRNA from 1 species